AGUCCUGUAGUAUAUUUAACUUAAUACAGUAAACUGCAACUUUAUCAAAGCUUUAUUAAGCUAGGACCU
rnacentral:tRNA from 1 species